rnacentral:lncRNA from 1 species
CCUGCUGACCAUGCUGGUGGUGUUGAGGCAACAACUCUUGGCGGAGACGAUUCCACAUCAACUGGCUCCAGUGACGCUGCUAAUUCUCUACUGAUGGUGUGCAGUACAGGGUUGAUUAUGAUGAACAUCAUUCAGACAUGGCUCAACUGAUCCUGUUUCCCUGGUACUCUUCACUGAAAUUUAAAUAUUUCUAGUUUAUACCUUAUGGAAAAAUUCUAAAUUAUUAAAACAUUUCAAAAUCAAGUA